UAUUAGUCUACUAUUCUGUGACACGCACAUGGGGCUCAAACCCAGCUCAGUGGAAAUUAAUAAAAGUCCUCAAUGAUCAUAUUCCCAAUUAUCAAACGGAUAUUUACAAACGUUCUGUCAUACUUUCACUGCCUGUGUUGGCUAGUUAACAAGUCCGUUUUGUGUACAUUUUCCGCUGUCUUUAUAGCGUUUAUUUAUUUAUUUUUCUAUGCACGGGAUUGUCACUUGAUCUCCGGGCUAAACUGCCUUUUGCACAGCCAGGACUGGACUUGGGGAAACAUUCGCAUAUGUCUAUUUCUUUCAUACAAUUACCGGAUUCUUUUUUAUUUUUAUUUAUCUAAACCUCCCGUGGCACAAGGAUGCGUUGAAACAUAAUAGAUUUGAAUGCAAAGUGGAAUUUGCGCGACUCCCGGUUCCCGGUCGUGUGUUGAUUGUGAGGAAGAUCUCAUAUAGUUUGUGUGAUUUUUCUAAAAUGCAUCACCAACAGCGAAUGGCUGCCAUAGGGACAGACAAAGAACUGAGCGACUUACUGGAUUUCAGUGCGAUGCGAAACAGCGAUUUGAAAAUGUUCCCAACAUCAAUGAUGUUCUCUCCUCCUGUAAGUGGUAAACACGGACCAACCUCUCUGGGAAGUGGACAUUUUGCAGGCUCAAGUAUGUCAAUCUCAAUUCAUUUAAAUAACGCAAUUCUAGUUGUGGCUAUUGCACAUGUUGUUUAACAUACCAUUGUUAUAAUUUUUUUUGUUGCGUCACAUUUUUGUUCUCUUAAUAAUGAGUUUAAAUAUAUUAUUGGAGAUGUCUUUUCCCUCUGAGCACACACUGGUUGAAUCAACAUUGUCUCCACGUCAUUUCAAUGAAAUUACGUUCGCACCGACGUAGAAUAGACGUUGAAUUGACGUUGUGUUGACGUUGAAUAGACGUUUGUGCCUAAUGGGUUAGCGUUGUGCAUCAGAUAUUACAUUGUACAACACACACACACACACACACACACACACACACACACACACACACACACACACACACACACACACACACACACACACACACACACACACACACACACACACACACACACACACACACACACACUAUUAUCAAUAACCCUUUAAAGCUGUGAAUAUCUCUGUUGGUAUUGACCGUGACAGUACCGGGCUUACAUGUGCUGUACAGUACAUGGAAAUCGUUCACACGUCUUUGGACCUCCCACUCAGUAGCCCCCGUAGCUGAGAAUGCCUGAUGUCUCUUUAAGCGUCUGGCCUCAAUGAAGACUCCUUUCCUCUUUGGGUAUUAACAGCAGGUGUACCACACCAGUGGCAGUUCUACUAUAUACAGUUCCAACUGUACCGACAGUUGUGGGUUUAAAGAGAGCGAUUCUGAAUUUUUUAUUUUUUUUGUUUUCAUUUGUAGACCUAUGUGGUUUACGGUUCACUAUUUUGUCUCUAGCACAGUGGCAGACAUGUUUGUGUUCUGGAAUAGACUUUGCAUUGUCAUUUCCCUCAAUAGGUACAGUAGACUAUUUCUCUCUGUAGGUAGACUAUUUCUCUCUAUACUGUAGGUAGGUCAUUUCUUUCUGUAGGUAGGUCAUUUAAUUUGGCUUUGUAGCAUAAUUUGUAUCGUCAUAUUCCAAUGCACCACUAUAUCAAGAUUUUAAUUUCUAUCACACCUGCUAUGGUAACGUACCAGUGGAUAUUGUAAUUGUGGGUGUGUUAAAGAGCAGUGUAUGUGCGACAAAUGAAUAUAUGUAAUAUAUAUAUAUAUAUACAGUACCAGUCUAAAGUUUGGACACACCUACUCAUUCCAGGGUUUUUCUUAAUUUUGUACUGUUUUGUACAUUGUAGAAUAGUAGUGAAGACAUUCAAACUAUGAAAUAACACAUAUGGAUUCAUGUAGUAACCAAAAAAGUGUUAAACACAUGAAAAUAUAUUUUAUAUUUGAGAUUCUUCAAAGUAGCCACAGUCUUGGCAUUCUCUCAACCAGAAUCAUAAGGUAGCCACCAGGAAUGCAUUUCAAUUAACAGGUGUGCUUUGUUAAAAGUUAAUUUGUGGAAUUUGUUUCAUUCUUAAUGUGUUUGAGCCAAUCAUUUGUGUUGUGACAAGGUAGGGGCGGUAUACAGAAGAUAGCCCUAUUUGGUAAAAGACCAAGUCCAUAUUAGGGCAAGAACAGCUCAAAUAAGCAAAGAGAAAUUACAGUCCAUCAUUUUUUUAAGACAUGAAGGUCAGUCAAUCUCGAAACUUGUAAAAUAUUCUUCAAGUGCAGUCGCAAAAACUAUCAAGCGCUAUGAUGAAACUGGCUCUCAUGUGGACCACCAACCCAGAGUUACCUCUAUUGCAGAGGAUAUAAGUCCAUUAGAGUUAACUGCAUCUCAGAUUGCAGCCCAAAUAAAUGCUUCACAGAGUUCAAGUAACAGACGCAUCUCAACAUCAACUGUUCAGAGGAGACUGUGUGAAUCAGGCCUUCAUGGUUGAAUUUCUGUAAAGAAACCACUACUAAAGGACACCAAUAAUAAGAAGAGACUUGCUUGGGCUAAAAACACAAGCAAUGGACAUUAGACCGGUGGAAAUUUGUCCUUUGGUCUGAUGAGUCUAAAUUUGAGAUUUUUGGUUCCAACCGCCGUGUCUUUGUGAGAUGCAGAGUAGGUGAACGGAUCAUCAUGAAUGGAUGAUCUCCGCAUGUGUGGUUCCCACCGUGAAGCAUGGAGGAGGUUGUAUGAUGUUGGGUGCUUUGCUGGUGGCACUGUCAGUGAUUUAUUUAGAAUUCAAGCACAGUUAACCAGCAUGGCUACCACAGCAUUCUGCAGCGAUACGCCAUCCCAUUUGGUUUGAGCUUAGUGGAGCUAUCAUUCGUUUUUCAACAGGACAAUGACCCAAAACACACCUCCAGGCUGUGUAGGGGCUAGUUGACCAAGAAGGAGAGUGAUGGAGUGCUGCAUCAGAUGACCUGGCCUCCACAGUCACCCGACCUCAACACAGUUCAGAUGGUUGGGGAUAAUUUGGACCGCAGAGUGAAGGAAAAGCAGCAUACGCGCUCAGCAUAUUUGGGAACUCCUUCAAGAUUGGUGGAAAAACAUUUGUCACAAAUGGGCGGCAGGGUAGCAUAGUGGUUAAAGCGUUGGGCUAGUAAACGUGAGUUUGCAAGUUCGAAUCCCCGAGCUGACAAGGUACAAAUCUGUCGUUCUGCCCCUGAACAAGUCAGUUAACUAGGUUGUCAUUGAAAAUACGAUUCUGUUCUUAACUGACUUGCCUAGUUAAAUAAAUAAAAUAAAGCUGCUUUUGAGAGGGUGCAAAGCUGUCAUCAAGGCAAAGACUACUUUGUAGAAUCUAAAAUAGAUAAUCUAUUUUGAUUUGUUUAACACUUUUUUUGGUUACUGUGUUAUUUCAUAGUUUUGAUGUCUUCACUAUUAUUCUACAA